rnacentral:tRNA from 1 species
CAGGGAGACAACACAAUGAUUUUGAUGCCUGAGUGCUUUUAUUCUUAGGCCGAAAUCCUGUCACCUUAGGUCGAUCGGUACCUCAGCUUUGAAGUCAAGGAUCCGCAGCAAUGUUGAUCGCUUGAUGGAGAUUUUCAGUUCCUAAACUUUGUCUAGGUCACACCCCAAAAGGGAUGAGACUCCUGGGCCAUUAGCUCAGGUGGUUAGAGCGCACCCCUGAUAAGGGUGAGGUCCCUGGUUCAAGUCCAGGAUGGCCCAUAUCUCUAUGUUGGGGGUAUAGCUCAGUUGGUAGAGCGCCUGCUUUGCAAGCAGGAUGUCAGCGGUUCGAGUCCGCUUACCUCCACUGAUUACCACCUCUUCCAUAUCCGGUAGAAAGGAAACGUUUUGAGUUGUGAUCAUUAUUCUGAACGAAUCUAGCUUCCUAAUGAAAUCAUUAAGAUGCUGGACUCAUUGAAUUAAUUUCAUUGUUUUCAGAGAACCUUGACAACUGCAUAGAUUUUUUUAAAGACAAUAAGCAUCUUUAAUGAUGCAGAUUUAUUAUUUGUGCGAAUGCAUUAAUAACAAUUCUAUUAAGCUGAUGCUUCAAUUUUUGAAGUUAUU